rnacentral:rRNA from 1 species
UGCAGUCGAACGAUGAACCUCCUUCGGGAGGGGAUUAGUGGCGAACGGGUGAGUAACACGUGGGCAAUCUGCCCUGCACUCUGGGACAAGCCCUGGAAACGGGGUCUAAUACCGGAUAUGACUCGGGAGGGCAUCCUUCCGGGUGGAAAGCUCCGGCGGUGCAGGAUGAGCCCGCGGCCUAUCAGCUUGUUGGUGGGGUGAUGGCCUACCAAGGCGACGACGGGUAGCCGGCCUGAGAGGGCGACCGGCCACACUGGGACUGAGACACGGCCCAGACUCCUACGGGAGGCAGCAGUGGGGAAUAUUGCACAAUGGGCGAAAGCCUGAUGCAGCGACGCCGCGUGAGGGAUGACGGCCUUCGGGUUGUAAACCUCUUUCAGCAGGGAAGAAGCGCAAGUGACGGUACCUGCAGAAGAAGCGCCGGCUAACUACGUGCCAGCAGCCGCGGUAAUACGUAGGGCGCAAGCGUUGUCCGGAAUUAUUGGGCGUAAAGAGCUCGUAGGCGGCUUGUCGCGUCGGAUGUGAAAGCUCGGGGCUUAACCCCGGGUCUGCAUUCGAUACGGGCAGGCUAGAGUGUGGUAGGGGAGAUCGGAAUUCCUGGUGUAGCGGUGAAAUGCGCAGAUAUCAGGAGGAACACCGGUGGCGAAGGCGGAUCUCUGGGCCAUUACUGACGCUGAGGAGCGAAAGCGUGGGGAGCGAACAGGAUUAGAUACCCUGGUAGUCCACGCCGUAAACGUUGGGAACUAGGUGUUGGCGACAUUCCACGUCGUCGGUGCCGCA